rnacentral:lncRNA from 1 species
UAGCUUGGUAUCUGGACUUGAGCCUCAUGGUGAAAACCUGUCCAUCCACACAACUUGCACACCUGCCCAAUCCCAGUGUGAGGGUCCUGCAGAAGCACAAGGACCCUGUCACAUAGCCAUGGCUUGUAGGCAUUUUCAGAUGUGGUCCUUGACAGAAGAAGAGCAUAGGAGAGAAUUUAUACAAGGAGAGCCAAGCUAUGCCUAUAAAAUGGAUUUUGACUGAUCAAGCGGAUUGCUCCUGCAUAGAAAAGCUUUGCAGAGUCUACAACAAUCUGCUUCUCUUCCACGUUAAGAGCCUCCUACAGAGUGUUCUCUGUCUCAGAUGCCUCUGUGUCCAAGAAGGCAGAUCUGGAGAAGCAUUUAUGGGCUGAAAAUCCACCUGCUACCUAUGCUAAAGGUCUAAUAAAGGUGUUAUCCAUCUCA